AAGUAACAGCCUACAGCCGAUGACAUAGCACUGCUCCCGCCAAGGCUGCCCAGGUUCAAUUCCUGAGCAGAGAAUUAACAUCUCACUUCAAGCCAUCACCCUCUGAGAUCAACCGUAUCUCUAUCAGGAGCCUCUCUACAACACCUCAUCAUUGCCACCCUCCCUUCCCCAGCACUUGCCAUUCCCUCCCCAGCCUCCAGCAGCUGCCGGCUCCGGCGACACUGUCUGCACCUCGUCACUGUAUCACACGUGUCACUUCGGCUGGUCGCCGGAAUCAACCCAUCCAGGUUAUUUGUAUAAACCAGGAGUAGAGCAACUGAGGAAAAAAAGGCAGCUGUGAAAAAGCAGUGGCUUCUACGAUUCAGUAUCAUUUUGUUAAGAAGCCAGGCAGAGGAAUACCAUAAAAGUUGGGGAUAAAACUGAAGCAGAUGUGAUGAAGACUGUUUUGUGUGUGUUCUUAAGAAAGGAUUACAGAUGAUAUAUGUUCCUUGUAAAAAAAAAAAAAUCAAGGAAGUAAUAAGAAGUGAUGUGAUGUGUAUUCUUCCAAAGGCACUUUAAAUUUGUUCCUGGCAAAAUACGACACAUCGCGGAAACCUGAAUAGUUGAAGCAACAAAUAUGAAGUCCUGGAAUGCCAAGAGUAGGAAUAUUCUAUCAGGCUAAUAACAGCCAUGGGUGCCAGGUACGGAGAGUCUGCUUUGAUGAGCAUCCUGCUGUGUGCCCUGGCGGUAUUAUAAUGGUCAGCGUUCCUGGAUUCAAGCAAAAGACACCAAUUUACUAACCCUGAGCAGAAAAGAAGUUCUCUGAAUAGAAGGCUAGAAAACAGCUCUGAAAAUGGGCAGAAAUCAAGGAAGACUGAGCAGUGGGGACACAGUCUGGAUCUUGUCACAGGGUCACUCUGGUUAAGGUCUCACCACUGUCAGACUCUGGACCCCUCAUGCAGCCACUGGGAGUGACUUCGCGGUUGUCUCCAGGAUACUGAAAGGUUCAGUUUCCCUACGGGGCCAGAAACUUGCCUCCCCAUCAAGACUCACGCCAUGAAGGACUCCCCCAGGAGUGUCACAAAACGAAGUAGAAUCCACCACUUCUUAUCAUCUUGUUCAAGCCUACCACAAACUGACAAUGGGAUUCAGGACUUGCUACCUCAAAUAUGGCACCCUGGUGUACUGAGCACUUUGAGCUGAAGGAUUUGAGAACUGGCAUGUGCCAGAGGGACCAUCUGAGCUUCCCCCGAAGUAGGUCCUAAAACCCUCAUGUGAGAGGUGCCCUCUCUGAACCUAGAGGAGAGGAGCAAACUUAUUUCCUAAGACAAAGAGACCCAGAGAGGAACAAACAGGCCCCGCCGAGUCUCCCGGCGUUUGCUAGACCCACCUUACUCUCUCUCCCACCACGUCUUCCCACGACUGUCUACUCUUCCUGGUUCAACUCUUGUCUUAGGAAGGUCCCCAUGUAGCGUAAAACUUACAUUAAAUAAACGUGGGUGCUUUUCUCUUGUUAAUCUGUCAGGGGUCCUGGUCAAGAAUUUAGACGUUAGAGGGAAAAGGUUAACAUCCUCCCUUACAGCUCAGAAGCGGAUAUGAUGUAGCCAUUUUCAGGAGGGGAUCAUAGGUCCUGGAGGUAAAGGAAUUUACCCAAGAAGCAAAGGUCCUGGCCACUUGUGCCCUACACGGUCUUACCCUGAAGCCAGGCAUCCUGCGUCUGCCCUUGCACUUCACUCAUCUGUGUAUUUUUGGCAGGGGGGGUUUGUUUUGUUUUGUUUUAAUUUUUUCCACUGUACAGCAUGGGGACCAAGUUACACAUACAUGUAUACAUACUUUUUCCUCCCAUUGUUGCGUUGUGAUGUAACUAUCUAGACAUAGUUCUCAAUGCCACAAAGCAGGAUCUCUUUGUAAAUCCAUUCCAAGAGCAAUAGUUUGCAUCCAUUAACCCCAAGCUCCCCAUCCUUCCCACUCCCUCCCACUCCCCCCCGGCAGCCACAGGUCUAUUCUCCAAGUCUGUGAUUUUCUUUUCUGUGGGAAUGUUCAUUUGUGCUGUAUAUUAGAUUCCAGUUAUAAGUGAUAUCAUAUGGUAUUUGUCUUUCUCUUUCUUGGAGAACGGUCUGUUCAGGUCUUCUGCCCAUUUUUCCAUUGGGUGGUUGGCUUUUUUGGUGUUGAGUUGUAUAAGUUGCUUGUAUAUUCUAGAGAUUAAGCCCUUGUCGGUUGCAUCGUUUGAAACUAUUUUAUCUCAUUCUGUAAGUUGUCUUUUUGUUUUCUUUGCUGAGCAAACGCUUGUCAGUUUGAUUAGGUCCCAUUGGUUUAUUUUUGCUCUUACUUCUGCUGCCUUGGGAGAAUGACCUGAGAAAAUAUUCAUGAGGUUGAUGUCAGAGAAUGUUUUGCCUAUGUUCUCUUCCAGGAGUUGGUGGUGUCUUGUCUUACAUUUAAGUCUUUAAGCCAUUUUGAGUUUAUUUUUGUUCAUGGUGUGAGGGUGUGUUCUAGUUUCACUGCUUUGCAUGCAGCUGUCCAGUUUUCCCAACAAUGCUUGCUGAAUAGACUGUCUUUUCCCCAUUUUAUGCUCUUGCCUCAUCUGUGUUUUUUGGAUCAUAAUGUUACCAGUUUUCUAAGGAGGAGCAGGAAAAGAAAUAAUAAUUAAAAUAAACCCCACAAAUCAAGGAGUUGAGGGUUUUUUUUCCCACUCCAA
rnacentral:lncRNA from 1 species